AACUCACAUGUCAAUUUACAACCCACACAACUCAAACAAAACUGCAUUCCAUCAGUGUGUAUUAUUAUUAUUAUUAUUAUGGAGAUCCAAGAUAAAUGUACACGAGUAAAGCUAUCAGAACCACCAUGCAGCCAAUACGUUUGCAUGCAUUUACUUUGAUAACAUGAUGGGCCUGUUGCCCACACCUGGGGUGCAUUUCUCUUGACAUGACAAUCCACUGUGAUUCCAAUCCCUAAACUUCGACCGUAGUUGCAUUUUUACGCACAAGUGCAGGUACGCCACUGUUUCACCCCAAGACUGUGCCGGAAGUUGGCAUCUCCACUUUCUAGAAGUGCACCUAUGGUCAACACCGUUUACAGUGACGGCAAACUGAAGGAAUCAGACGGAGGGAGUCUCACAGCAAUUUUGAAGAUCUACUGCAUGUCAGAAAGUUGAUCUGAUGAGACACCUCAUCUGUGAAGAGCCUGCCCAGGAUGUUCCAGGUCACCCUCUUCACAUCCUGGCCUCCAAUGGUGGCCAAAGAAGAAAUCUAAAAGGCAAAGACAUCUUUUUUAAAUAGACAGCAAGUGGAGGAGGGGUAUGGCCACGAAACCAUCCCUGUAUGGCAAGGCUACACAUUUCUGUCGCAGCGCUGACAC
ensembl:lncRNA